AGUAACAAUUACAUGCCUAAUGGUUGCAAAUCUUAUUGGUUAUGUUAUAGGACCAUCAGGCAUAAAUUGGUUGAUUUCACGAUUUCUUCAAAAGGAUGGGUUGCCUGUUCUAGCUGUCUUGUUUGUAUCAUUUUAUGUCGCAACCAAGCUUAUGUUUCACAUUCGUGAUGUGGAAAAAAACUGUCAGUGAUAGGAUUUGUUUGGGGCUGAUACUUUUUCAACUGGUACUCCUGCUAAUGUCAGAGAUAUGGGAACAAGAGACUCUGCUUGCUUCCUGCUGAUGCAGGUAAAUUACAGUUAAACUACACAGCCUUUCUUCUUCUAUUGUGGCAAUUGAAGAUUGGAAUAGACAGUUUUUUUUUAGCAAUUCACUUACUGGUUCAAUUCUAGAAUCUGAAAAUUGCAGAUAUCUUUGUUAGUCAAGCUGCGGGAUCAAACCUGGUCGCUGAUCUAACAGCCUUGACCAUCUGUUGCUAGAAAGUGUUUGCUUUAAGGGACCUUUAAAAAGUAUGAUGAGAUAGCUGUAUCACCAUGACCUGAUUUACUGAAGUCAUUUAUAAUGCAAUUCUACUUACAAAUACUCCCAAACAUGAUGCAUCUAGAUCUUCGCACAAAGCAAGCAAGCCACUCUGGUUCAAAUUUGUAUUUACCUUUCUUUUGACAAGCAAUUUGUAUUGACAAUCUUACUAGCUCCUCUAACUGCUAAUCCCUGUAAGAAUUGUGGUAGAAUUGCCUGCUUUUGAUUUCAUUUUCGAUACUAAUGUAGAUCAUAGAAAAUUUAUUUGACA